GGACAUGUCCCUUCCGUCCAUGCCAAAUCUACGCCCUUGCUUUAUAUAUGUUUUCUUUGGAUCAGUUCCCUUUGCUCAUUCUCAAUGUAGGGAUACCUUCAAAUGCAGUAACCAUCUCAAAUGCAUCACAAAAGUAAUUGAAACAAUCAAAACAGAUGUAAGACAAGAAAGAAAAAACAAUAUUUCAACACCCCAAAGAAAAGGAAAAAGAAUGGAAAAUGUGGUACCACUGGACUUUUACUGGUUGUCAACAGUCAGUUUUUAUGAUGUCAGCUUCAUUUAGUUACCAGUUUAUUUGGGUUUGAGAACAAAAAACAACCUGAGUCCCAGGCGAAGAAAAAAGUAGCAAAAGAAAAUGAUAAGGUAUCUCUCAGGUGGACUUCCUUUUGUUUUUUCCCCUACCGCCCUCCUGGUACGGCAGGCAUCAAUGUGUCGGCGUCCUGACACACAGAAGCUCUCCACAGCAGCAACAGUGUCCUAGAUCCACAAUACCAGCUCCUCACUCGGCACACAUGGAACUGUCCCUCAAAAAAAAAUAUUCAGAAUGGUUCAAAGGAUUCAAAGAAAUACUCCGACUCCUUUGAGGUAGGUACCCGUCUGUGGUUCACCGCUAACGGAAACUCUCUCACAAAUGUUAAUGGAACCUAUUUUCCCCUUUUAACUGGAGUUUUUCCUUGCCGUCCUUUUUCCUCUGCACCACACCUUCACACGCACCAAGCUGCAGGUAAUGCCUUCAGGGCAAGAUCAGAAAUUAAACUAUCAGACAAGAGCUACAAUAUGGGAAACUAUGAUGCAUUUAAAGAACCCUGUACUUCUGAUUGCUGUGAAUCUUACCAGGGUUACACUUAGCUACUCAGUUUCUACAGGUUAAACUGGUUUUGACGUCACUCUAAAGUUAACUUACGAUAACACGUCAGUGUCAUCAGAUCAGACGCUCACAGACACCAGGACUAACAAACGGGCUGAACGAGCAGCUACUUCUCUCCAGAUGGUUCCUCCACGCAGAAAACUGGGAAGUGUCUGGAAGAUGAUGUGAAGUGAAAUCAGCGGGUGUGGGCUUUGCUAUGGAUCAGUGUGAGCAAAGAGAGGAGGGAGUCCCUCCCUCUGCAUCCACUCUGUGUGGGGAACAUGAGAGCCAGACCAAAGCUCAGAGACCAAAGCUGUGGAUCAAAUCACACUCUGCUGGACCUGAACAUGAACCCAGCUCUGUGUCUGUAAAGAGUGACAUGUCCCUCGACGAGCUGAUUAAUUAUAAAGAACAAUGGUCUUCAAAAAGUUCUAAAAGAAGAAAAAAGCUGUGGUACAAAUCAUACUCUGCUGGAUCUGAACCUGAACCCAUGUCAGUGAGCAGCAAACAUCAUAUCAGACUGAAAAAGAAGCCCUUAUUUAAAAAACACAAAAAGACACAAGAGCAAGCUUGGACUCUGCUUAACAGAAACUGGACCUGA